rnacentral:tRNA from 1 species
GCGGGAUUAGCUCAGUUGGCUAGAGCGUCUCGUUGCCAACGAGAAGGUCGCCAGUUCGAAUCUGGUAUCCCGCUCCA